AUUUCAGUAGCAGAAAGUCCAACAGAAAGAAUUGUACUAUAGUUGCCAAUAAAAAGAAUGCAAGUUCUGAGGAUACAGCUUUUUGUCGCAAUAAGUCUAGGAGAACUGUUGCAAAGGAAGAAAAUACUACUUUUGGCUGUUCAGUUUCUGGUCGCAACAAGUCUAACAAAGAGGAUUGUGUGCAAGCUCUGGACAUACAGUUUCUGGGUUAGUGUUAUAUUCUUUCUACUCGAGUUGUUUGAAAGUGUAGUUUGUUCUCUUCGAAAAGUGUUGUUUUCUUCGGUUAAAAAAAU